rnacentral:rRNA from 2 species
CGAGAAACUUUGCAAUGUGCGAAAGCACGACAAGGUUAAUCCGAGUGGUUUCUGCUAAAGGAACCUUUUGUCGGUCCUAGAAACACCGAUGAAUAAGGGGUGGGCAAGUUCUGGUGUCAGCCGCCGCGGUAAAACCAGCACCUCAAGUGGUCAGGAUGAUUAUUGGGCCUAAAGCAUCCGUAGCCUGCUUUGUUAGUUUUCGGUUAAAUCCACUCGCUCAACGAAUGGGCUGCCGGGAAUACUGCAAAGCUAGGGAGUGGGAGAGGUAGGCGGUACUCGGUAGGAAGGGGUAAAAUCCUUUGAUCUAUUGAUGACCACCUGUGGCGAAGGCGUCGUACCAGGAACACGUCCGACGGUGAGGGAUGAAAGCUGGGGGAGCAAACCGGGAUUAGAUACCCGGGGUA